CCGGCGAGGUGGGAGAAAUGCGCUAUCCCGGCAUGGGCAGCCGCCACAUCCGCUUCCAUCGCCUAUCUCGAAGAACCCUAAAUUUGUGUAAGAGCCCUAAUUUCCAUUUACAUUUAUCUCAAACUGACAUUUUAUUUUGAAGGAGACUCCAUCCAAUGCGAAUUCAUAUUCGUGCUACCAGCAAAAUCUCAAAAAAUUUAUGGUGUAAUAUCACCACAUUAUAUUAGCAUUAAAGAAUUUCUCUCGUUAAUUAUUAUUUUUUUGGAUUUUUGAGAAUUUGUUUGGUUCUUUCAUUUUUGGUAAUGGUUUGAGACCACGACCCGAUCA
rnacentral:lncRNA from 1 species